rnacentral:rRNA from 1 species
UACGUAGGGUGCAAGCGUUAAUCGGAAUUACUGGGCGUAAAGCGUGGGCAGGCGGUUUUGUAAGUCUGUCGUGAAAGCCCCGGGCUCAACCUGGGAAUUGCGAUGGAGACUGCAAGGCUAGAAUCUGGCAGAGGGGGGUAGAAUUCCACGUGUAGCAGUGAAAUGCGUAGAGAUGUGGAGGAACACCGAUGGCGAAGGCAGCCCCCUGGGUCAAGAUUGACGCUCAUGCACGAAAGCGUGGGGAGCAAACAGG